AAUUCAAAACUCCUAUCAGCUAGCAUGAAAAGAAUGAAAUUCAAACUUAUCGCAGCCCCUAAUAUUGGGAGAAUCAACACUACAACCACCACCAGAUUGCUUCACCAAAUGCAUAAUAUGGCAAUACUAAAAGAAUUCUCCACCCACCAUAUCCUAAUCAUAGAAGGGAUUCUGUGCAUGGCUAAAUCAACACAUCAAAUGAAGGGGAGUGAAAGCAGAAGCAGCAAUGGGUGUGAUUACGCAUCUAAACAACUAGAUAUUCAAAUCCACGAUACAUACUCGCACCAAACAGAAAUUAACUUAACAUGGGAUCAAGUGUCUGUGCAUAUGCAUUGAAAAGAGAGACGGGGAGGUGUGCAGAUAAACAUACUCCAGACAUACCUUUCCCUCAUUUGAGAAAUGCUUCUCAAGGUCUCUCUUUGAAACCCGGGCUGAUAAUCCCGUCACAUAGAGAUUGUUUCCAGGAUUCUCAAUACUUGCGUCCCGGCUCCUGCAUGCCAUGACACGAUCAGACAAGGAAACCCACUCA